rnacentral:rRNA from 1 species
UAGGGAAUAUUGGACAAUGGGGGCAACCCUGAUCCAGCCAUGCCGCGUGAGUGAAGAAGGCCCUCGGGUUGUAAAGCUCUUUUGUCCGGAAAGAAAAGCUUCGGGUUAAUACCCCGGGGUUCUGACGGUACCGGAAGAAUAAGCACCGGCUAACUUCGUGCCAGCAGCCGCGGUAAUACGAAGGGUGCAAGCGUUACUCGGAAUUACUGGGCGUAAAGCGUGCGUAGGUGGUUGUUUAAGUCUGAUGUGAAAGCCCUGGGCUCAACCUGGGAAUGGCAUUGGAAACUGGGCAGCUAGAGUGCGGUAGAGGGUAGUGAAAUUCCCGGUGUAGCAGUGAAAUGCGUAGAGAUCGGGAGGAACAUCUGUGGCGAAGGCGACUGCCUGGACCAGCACUGACACUGAGGCACGAAAGCGUGGGGAGCAAACA